CGCCUGGGGAGUACGGCCGCAAGGUUAAAACUCAAAUGAAUUGACGGGGGCCCGCACAAGCGGUGGAGCAUGUGGUUUAAUUCGAUGCAACGCGAAGAACCUUACCUGGUCUUGACAUCCACGGAAGUUUUCAGAGAUGAGAAUGUGCCUUCGGGAACCGUGAGACAGGUGCUGCAUGGCUGUCGUCAGCUCGUGUUGUGAAAUGUUGGGUUAAGUCCCGCAACGAGCGCAACCCUUAUCCUUUGUUGCCAGCGAUUAGGUCGGGAACUC
rnacentral:rRNA from 3 species